UUUUAAUUAAUUAUACAACCAAGUGCAACCCUUAAUUUCACGUAAAUACCUAAGUUAUCUUCUUCAUCACACCGAAACGCUCAAUUUCUUCAUCUCUCAACACUAUCAAUUUAUCUCAAGCUUCUCCGUCUCUGGUGCUGGUGCUCUCUUUGAUUUCGUUGUUUACGUACUCUCACUCACUCUCGGUUGUUCUUCAAGUUUGAGGUGUGGUUGGUGAAGCUGCAGAGGCUAUAUAUGUAUAACGGUAUUGGAUUACAGACUACUAGAGGGUCUGGCACCAAUAGUUAUAUGCAGAGGAACAAGUUUUUCAUGAGGCCAAAGACUGGAAAAGGUUGCUGAAAAGCACUACAAGAUUUGAAGAAGAUCAAGGCACUAAGAAACCUAAUAAAGACAUUCUGGAGCAUGACCGCAAGCGUCGGGUUGAACUCAAACUCCUCAUACUUGAGGACAAGCUCAAUGACCAAGGCUAUACAGAGAAGGAAAUUUCUCAAAAAGUUGAGGGAAGCUCGCGAGAAUUUGGAAGCUGCUUCUGAGGAGAAACAAUGGAUCCUCUGCCAUUCAUUCUUCUUACUGAUGAGACGAAAAGGAUGAAAUGGGAUUUUUUUUAUUAUCAAACUCAAUUGGCAAAAUGAAUAGAAGAUUAUUUUGUUAAUUAGAAUUUUUUGAUCUUUUACCAAAAUAAAAUAUAAAUAAAUAACUUUUUUUAGGAGAAA